rnacentral:tRNA from 1 species
GGCUGUGUAGUUCAAUUGGAUAGAAUAUCAGAUUUCGGCUCUGAUGGUUGAAGGUUCGAGCCCUUUCACAGUCA